GGCAGUUCCUGGGUGACACAUCCUGGAAUCUGGCUCCCUCCUCUCUGGUUCUGGGUGUGUCACCCAAGAACCACA
rfam:Myotis lucifugus cont2.27371, whole genome shotgun sequence.